AUACGGAGGAUGCGAGCGUUAUCCGGAUUUAUUGGGUUUAAAGGGUGCGUAGGCUGUGCGUUAAGUCAGGGGUGAAAUGCCGUCGCUCAACGACGGAGCUGCCCUUGAUACUGGCGUGCUGGAGUACGGAUGCCGUUGGAGGAAUGAGUGGUGUAGCGGUGAAAUGCUUAGAUAUCACUCAGAACACCGAUUGCGAAGGCAUCUGACGAAUCCGUCACUGACGCUGAGGCACGAAAGCGUGGGGAUAGAACAGGAUUAGAUCCCCUGGUAUUCCACGCCGUAAACGAUGAUGACUAACCGUCGGCGAUAGACAGCCGGUGGCCAAGCGAAAGCGAUAAGUCAUCCACCUGGGGAGUACGUCGGCAACGAUGAAACUCAAAUGAAUUGACGGGG
rnacentral:rRNA from 1 species